GUGGAGAGAGACUCCUGGAGACCAGUUGGAGCCAAGCCUCCAUUAUCUCCUGCUUGCAGGACUUCUGCAUGAAGCCAACACAUCCAAAUGUGCAUAAGACUUACGAACAGCAGACAAGCUCCAUGACAUCUUCUGAGAGUGAAGCUGUGCCGUGUCAGGGGUUGGGACAGCAGCAGCAAGGGAGAUCAGCCCGAGGCCUGGGGAGACACAGCCGGGAAAUCUCGGUGUGUGUAGCCCUGGGGUCUGAGGCCUCCAACUGUCCAUGUGGUUCCCACAGCUCAAGUCCAGCGUGUGAUCAUGACCUAGGACAGGGCCACUCAGAGCACAGUUCAUUUCAAAUGUGAUGGUGGCGCUGAAUGAUACACCAACAUGCCGGAAGAGAAUCGCCAGAACUCACGUGCAGAAGGCAUGGAUCAGGCCACUCCCAGCAAUACAGAUGCCCUCAGCACCCUGCAGCUGCCUCCCGCCUCCAUCCCCACACAGCAGCCUCCUGGGACAACAUCCUGCUUCCACCUUGCAGCUGCCUCCCGUCCCCCCGCCCCUCCCCACAGAGGCAUCCUGUGACAACAUCCUACUUCCACCCUGCAGCUGUCUCCCGUCCCCAACACACAGCGGCCUCCUGGGACAACAUCCUACUUGCCAGACACAGCCUGGAGCCCCCAAAGCAUGGACGGGCUUAGCGAGCCACACAGCAUUUCCCCUUCACACCUGGGAAGUCAGCCCCUCACUGAAGUGGGUCCUGCGCCCGCCAGCUGUGCACGAUCAGAGUCGUGAGGUUAUGGACCUGGUCACCCACAGUGCAGAGAGGCAUGAGGUCAUGGACCUGGUCACCCGCUGUGCAUGAUCAGAGGUGUGCGAGGUUCCAGACCUGCUCACCCACUAUGCACAAUCAGUGGUGUGAGGUUAUGGACCUGGUCACCCACUGUGCACGAUCAGAGCCGUGCGAGGUUACAGACCUGGUCACCAGCUGCACCCAAUCAGAAGCUUUUGAGGUUAGGGACCUGGUCACCCGCUGUGCACAGAAGUGUGAGGUUAUGGACCUGAUCACCUGCUGUGUCCAAUCAGAGCCAGGCAAUGUUACAGAUCUAGUCACCAGCUGCACCCAAUCAGAAGCUUUCAAGGUUAUGGACCUGGUCACCCACUGUAUCCAAUCAGAGGCAUGUAAGGUUAGGGACCAUGCACGUGGUGAUGGACCUAGUCACCCGCCAAGACUCCUGAUGUUUCCAGUGUCAUCCCAUCUUCCUUCAAAACUUGAAAAAUCUUUAGAUAUUUCCCAAAGCUCGUCCAUCUUUGAAAACGAUAUGUGUGCACACAGCCUGAACGUGCACGUACAUGCUCUGCUGCAGGUGCACUGCCGUAUGUGGACCAGCGACGCUCUUUCCUGCCUCGGAUUCUCGUCACUGCCUUCCGUAAAGCUCUCGCCUGCUUUACAGCCAUGCCAGCCAGGCCUGGUCAGCCACACAGUGAAAUUCCUGCAGUGUCAGAGCUAAGUGCUGGCUGAGACUUUAACAGCGAAGACAGCGGAGUAAUGGGGAUAAAGUGAACAAAACUGUAUUGUAACGCAGACGAAAGUCUAGAAGCAAAAGCAGCUGACACUCCUGAGAGAGCAGGCGACUGCGUCUCACUAUGAUGUUAAUAGCAACUUGCUGUUUCCUGCGCCUCCUUGUGCCAGGGUUUCCAGUCAUCAUUUGUGUUUAUCUGCUCCUGGGCUGCCUGAUCAAAUCUCUGUAGAGAUCAGAGAUAUCUAAAUUGACCCAGUAUCUGCACGCUGGCUGCUCAAAGGCCGUGGUGUGGAACAGCCAGGACAUCGCUUAGUCAUACGGGGCACAAGCACGUCACUUGCCACUCCUGUCUAUUUCAUCCAACCCUAUUUUCUCCUGAAUAUUGAGCAUAGCAAAGUCAUUAGCCUUUGAGAUGCAUUUGAGACAUCAACUUGCUUUAUUCAAGAGGUUUAAGACACAUGUAGGUCUUUCUUGCCAUGCUCAACACACAGGGCCGGCCGUUUCUGAAGUCAGUGAUUCUGGAACAAAAGCCUUGGCCUGCCCCUUGAACAUUCACGCUGAGCACACUGUCGCGAGGCUGCUUGGCCAGCCAGCAGAGGGCAGGAGAGAGCCGCAGGUGCCGCGUGGGGUCCCCGCAAACCCGCCUCACUCCCUCAAUCAAGGGCGGUGCCUCCUGCCAAUGUAGUGGCUUCCUCCAAGGGGGAAACGGCCUCUUCAGCUUCCACUGCACUGAUUUCAGAUGACUCAGCCAAUGGGGCCACAGAUUCAUCAGAGUUCCAUGUUGUUAAAGGAAAACUUCUGUUACCAGGCAACCUUAAUAUCAGAUUCAAUGUAAAAUAACCAAGAUUGUUUCCAAACAAACAUGCUACUAGUGCCUUAUCCUUCAAUGCUUCUUAAACACAGAGAAGUAUGAGGAAAAAGGAACAUGGCACUUCUUAAAAAAUAACACCUCUUCCAGGUUCAUUUUACCCAUAUCAUAAAGACUUAGAACUGUGGAUUCCCUACAGGAAUGUGGAGUGCGGGUGGAUCCCUACGUUGACCCAGCCUCCCCUCCAG
ensembl:lncRNA